UAUGCCUUAUGAGACCAACUUAGGUUGGGCGGGUCUGGCCAUUAUACCUUAGUGAACUGUUUGUGUUAGAUUCUUGUUUGAAUCCAUGGUUGUUUGAGCUCCAAGUCCAAACGUUCAAGCCCAUGUUAGUUUGAACAAAGUUUACAAAUCUCAAAUCUCAAGUAGCAUCUAUCAGCAAAACUCUGUUCGAAGUAGGACAUCUAUACUAUCUACUCUCUAGUCUUUGCACCUUGGACUUCCCAUAAGUUACAAACAAGCCAACUUCUCAUCUAGUCUGGAGCUGUAUUGACGUACAAAUGAGUAUUAUGAGUUUGUGUGUCAAACUGGGUGUUCCUCAGCCUGCUCAUCCGGUCUUAUUGCCUACCCCUGUUGCCAACAACAAUAAUAAAACUAGAAGUUCGGUUCUAACUCUACCAUCAAAUAGAGGCAAACUUGCUAACUCAGCUUUACAAGAUGAAACUCACAAACACUUACAGUUUCAGCCAUUAGUUGAUGUCCUACGUGACUGUGCAGAUAAAGGGUCUGUAAAACGAGCAAAAGCGGUUCAUGGGUUGUUGUCAAAAUUGGAUUUUUCGGAUAGGGACUUGAUGGUCUUGUUAAACCAUGUAGCUCAUGUGUACUCUAAAUGUUCAGAUUUUGAUGCUGCUCGUCGAGUGUUUGAUAAAAUGUCUGAGAGAAACAUAUUUUCUUGGACGGUCAUGAUUGUUGCUUGUACUGAGAAUGGCUUCUUUCUUGAAGGAUUCAAGUUCUUCUGUGAGAUGAUGAAUCAUGGUAUCUUACCUGAUGAGUUUGCAUAUUCAUCGGUUGUCCAGACGUGUAUUGGUUUGGAGUGUGUUGAAUUGGGUAGAAUGGUUCAUGCCCAGAUUGUUAUAAGAGGCUAUGCAUGUCAUACUUUUGUUAGUACGUCUCUUCUUAAUAUGUAUGCCAAAUUGGGAAUGAUUGAAGUGUCCAAUAAGGUAUUUGAGACCAUGACUGAACAUAAUCAAGUCUCAUGGAAUGCAAUGAUAUCGGGGUUUACAGGGAAUGGUCUUCACUUCGAAGCAUUUGAUCAUUUUCUUAGAAUGAAGAAAGGAGGCAUUACACCAAAUAUUUCCACACUUAUUAGCGUUUCAAAAGCAGUUGGAAACUUAGGUGAUGUCAGAAAGGGCAAAGAGGUUCAGAAUUAUGUUUCUGAAUUGGGUUUGGAAUCUAAUGUUCUUGUUGGAACAGCUAUAAUUGAUAUGUUCUCAAAAUGUGGGUCAUUGAGAGAUGCAAGAUCUGUUUUUGACUCAAGUUUCACCUGUUGUGGAGUUAACACACCUUGGAAUGCAAUGAUUUCAGGCUAUUCUCAGUAUGGGUUUAGCCAAGAAGCAUUGGAACUUUUUGUAGAAAUGUGUCGAAAUGAUAUAAAAUCUGAUGUUUACACUUAUUGCAGUGUGUUCAAUGCUAUUGCCACUUUAAAGCUUUUGCGAUUCGGAAAGGAAGUUCAUGGGAUGGUUCUGAAGAGUGGAUUAAAUAUGAAAGUUGUAAGUGUUUCCAAUGCAAUUGCUGAUACAUAUGCCAAAUGUGGGUUGCUUAAAGAUGUAAGGAAGGUAUUUGAUAGGAUGGAAGAGAGAGAUAUAGUGUCUUGGACAACCCUGGUGACUGCUUACUCUCAAUGUUCUGAAUGGGAGGAAGCACUAGCCAUCUUCUCUCAGAUGAGGGAAGAAGGCUUUAUACCCAAUCAGUUUACCUUUUCUAGCGUGCUCGUUGCUUGCACCAGCCUUGGUUUACUUGAGUAUGGUCAUCAAGUCCAUUCUCUUCUUUGCAAGGCUGGCUUGGACACUGAUAACUGCAUAGAAAGUGCUCUAAUUGACAUGUAUGCCAAAUGUGGUAGUAUAACUGAAGCGCGUAAGGUUUUUGAGAAAGUAUCUAACCCUGACACUGUUACAUGGACAGCUGUUAUAUCAGGUUAUGCUCAACAUGGUCUGGUGGAGGAUGCUCUUCAACUCUUUAGCCAGAUGAAUCAGUUAGGUACAAAUGCCAAUGCUGUUACCUUGCUGUGUGUCCUGUUUGCUUGCAGCCACGGAGGAAUGGUGGAGGAGGGCCUAAAUUAUUUUCAACAAAUGGAGGACAGUUAUGGCCUGGUGCCAGAGAUGGAACAUUAUGCAUGUGUUGUUGAUCUCUUAGGUCGAGUUGGCCGUCUGGAUGAUGCAAUGGAUUUUAUAGGAAGGAUGCCCAUUGAGCCCAAUGUGAUGGUCUGGCAGACCUUGUUGGGAGCAUGUAGGGUCCAUGGCAACAUUGAGUUAGGAGAGAUUGCUGCCCAGAAAAUUCUUUCAAUUAUGCCCGACUACUCAGCUACCUAUGUACUUCUAUCCAACACAUAUAUCGAGAAAGGGAGCUAUGAAGAUGGACUUAAUUUGAGAGAUAUGAUGAAAGAGCAAGGCGUGAAAAAGGAACCGGGAUAUAGUUGGAUUUCUGUCAAAGGUAGAAUCCAUAAAUUUUAUGCAGGUGAUCAACAGCAUCCUCAAAAAGAGGCCAUAUAUGCGAAGCUAGAAGAGUUGAGGGUGAAGAUCAAAUCCAUGGCUUAUGUACAAGACUUGAACUCUGUAUUGUGAGAUGUGGAUUACAGAUAAAAGCUUUGUAUGACUGGUGGAAGCCCAUCAAAAGAUAUAAACUUCUACAUGCCAAUAUUUCUAGUAAAUAUAAACACAUAAAUGGGCACACAUCUUUCACAAACACAUGUACCUCUUUGAGUAGAACUUCCACAUUUAGAGAUGCCGAGGAGAACUUACAAAUGUGGCUGAUGAAUUCCUGUUGAUGAAUGUUUAGUGAUAGGUGUAAGUGUCGUGCUUAACCUAUGACUCCUACAGCCUUGUCUUUCAUAAUUGAGGACGGCUGAGUACCUAAAAAGCAGAGAGCCAAUGGGAAAUAUUUUUGAGAACAAUGGUACUGUUAAUUUUAGUGCCGAACAUCAUUUGUUGGUGCAGUUAUGGCUUUCAAAUAGGUUUAGAAUACUAAGGCUAAUGUUUCUGACUUUGUUUAGCAGGAAACUGAUGUGGGCUUGCAUACCAAUAUUGACACUACUUUCAAGAAUAAAGGUCUUCCCACAGACUUUGUGAUCCAUAUGCUUAUUAUGAAUGAUUUGAGAGAGUAACUUGUGGGUAUUAUUAUUUGUCAUGGAGAUGCAAUCUUGGCAUUAUAUUAAUCAAACAGGGUGUUUUAGAACAUCCUUAACCAGGUCAUCCACCAUUGCAAAGCAGUUGAAAACAGUGGAACAGUGGCUCAAGGUGUACAGAGACAAGUCAAUUCUUGCUGCUGUCAAUUCUUUGCAGUCAAAACCAGAACAACCAACCUGCUAGAAGCAGAACCGAGAAAAACCAGCAGCGGAGCUGCACUAAAUGCACCCUUCUAAGUAACUAUACUACAACAGAACAACAAAGUCCCAUGCACUCAAAAAACAAAACAGAAAACAAAAAUUCCAGAAACUAUUGGGUCUGCAGCAGCAAAGGGAAACAGCAGAUAGUCUAAAACCAUUUAAUAAGAACAGAAUAGGGAAUUCAACAUUUAACUCGAUUUAAAACUCAAAUUUUCAUUUCUGUUCCAGCAGCUAAUCUGCCCCACAUUAGCCAUUGCUGCAAAAGAUGGCAAAAGAUCUGAGACACAAGGCAAAAAGAAACCUUUUCUUAAACACUUGGUUUUAGGAAAAAAAUUGUAUACCCAUCUACUUUCUUUUUCUAAAGAGUUUGACAGUCUCUUGGAGUGAAUAUAUCACUUCUCUCUCACACAUCUUUUUCCCUUUC